CACCAAGAUGCUAAACUGGUUAUAAGCAUUAGCCUUUUAAGCUAAAAACUGGUGACUACCGCCCACCCUUGGUGA
rnacentral:tRNA from 1 species